rnacentral:tRNA from 1 species
UCCCUAAUGGUCCAGUGGUUAAGACUCUCCUCUCCCAAUGCAGGGAACAUGGGUUCAAUCCCUGCUUAGGGAA